rnacentral:rRNA from 1 species
GACGAACGCUGGCGGCGCGCUUAACACAUGCAAGUCGAACGGAAAGGCCUGCUUUCCCUUGUGGAUUGCGGGUACUCGAGUGGCGAACGGGUGAGUAACACGUGAGUGAUCUGCCCCCAACUUGGGUAUAAGCCUGGGAAACUGGGUCUAAUUCCCGAUAGGACUGCAGGGUGGUGCCUGUGGUGGAAAACGAUUUUCUAGUGGUUGGGGAUGAGCUCGCGGCCUAUCAGCUUGUUGGUGGGGUAAUGGCCUACCAAGGCGGCGACGGGUAGCCGGCCUGAGAGGGUGGACGGCCACAUUGGGACUGAGAUACGGCCCAGACUCCUACGGGAGGCAGCAGUGGGGAAUAUUGCACAAUGGGCGGAAGCCUGAUGCAGCGACGCCGCGUGGGGGAUGACGGCCUUCGGGUUGUAAACUCCUUUCGACCGCGAGGAAGCCACCUGGUUGGAAGGGUGGUGACGGUAGUGGUAGAAGAAGCACCGGCUAGCUACGUG